AGCAGCCGCGGUAAUUCCAGCUCCAAUAGCGUAUAUUAAAGUUGUUGCAGUUAAAAAGCUCGUAGUUGAAUUUCGGGAUCAGUAGGUCGGUCGUGCCACUGGUAUGAACUGGUUUUACUGAUUCCUCCCCUCUUGAAGAACUGUAAUGCCAUUAAUUUGGUGUUGCAGGGAAUCAGGACUGUUACUUUGAAAAAAUUAGAGUGUUUAAAGCAGGCUUUAGCUUGAAUACAUUAGCAUGGAAUAAUGAAAUAGGACGUUUGAUCCUAUUUUGUUGGUUCUAGGAUUGACGUAAUGAUUAAUAGGGAUAGUUGGGGGCAUUAGUAUUCAAUUGUCAGAGGUGAAAUUCUUGGAUUUAUUGAAGACUAACUACUGCGAAAGCAUUUUGCCAAGGAUGUUUUCAUUAAUCAAGAACGAAAGUUAGGGGAUCGAAGACGAUCAGAUACCGUCGUAGUCUUAACCAUAAACUAUGCCGACUAGGGAUCAGAUGAUGUUAAUUUUUUAAUGACUCAUUCGGCGCCUU
rnacentral:rRNA from 1 species